rfam:Schistosoma rodhaini strain Burundi genome assembly, scaffold: SROB_scaffold0000977
GUACUGCAGAGGAGUACCACAGUAGAACGAAACGGCCGUCCAGUAC